rnacentral:lncRNA from 1 species
UCGGUCUUUCAAAAAAUAAUCACUUUAGAUGUUACAAUAGAGGUUUUUCCAAUUACCAUGAGAGAAAUUCCUUGUGGUAUAGCGCUAAUUUAAGAAGGAAAAUCAUGUUUACAGUUGCAAAGAUAUUCAAUGCAUUCUUUUGUUGGACUCGUAUUUACAUCUGUAUUUUUUAAUAUUAUUAAUUCGUAUAUUUUAACAAAUUGGAUUCGUUUAGGGAUAGUCGCAUGUUAAACUAUAUUUUCAAAGGUAGAGAGAAAACGGCGGAUAGCAAAAAGCAUAUUGACCGGCAAAAAGCAUAUUGCACGGUUAUUUUUAGAAUAUCAAAA